UACGUAGGGGGCAAGCGUUGUCCGGAAUUAUUGGGCGUAAAGCGCGCGUAGGCGGCCCGGUAAGUCCGCUGUGAAAGUCAGAGGCUCAACCUUUGAAUGUCAGCGGAUACUGCCAGGCUAGAGUCCGGAAGAGGCGAGUGGAACUCCUGGUGUAGCGGUGGAAUGCGCAGAUAUCAGGAAGAACACCGACGGCGAAGGCAGCUCGCUGGGACGGUACUGACGCUGAGGCGCGAAAGCGUGGGGAGCGAACAGG
rnacentral:rRNA from 1 species